rnacentral:rRNA from 1 species
AUACGGAGGUGGCGAGCGUUACUCGGAUUUAUUGGGUGUAAAGGGCAGGUAGGUGGCUCAAAAAGUGGAGAGUGAAAUCCUUCGGCUUAAUCGAAGAACUGCUCUUCAAACUGUUGAGCUUGAGUGUGAGAGAGGAGAAUGGAACUCCUGGUGUAAGGGUGAAAUCUGUAGAGAUCAGGAGGAACACCAUUGGCGAAGGCGAUUCUCUGGAUCACAACUGACACUGAACUGCGAAAGUUAGGGGAGAGAACAGGAUUAGAUACCCUGGUAUUCCUAACCGUAAACGAUGAGUACUGGGUGUUCCCUGUAACAGGGGGGCGCCGAAGCUAACGCAUUAAGUACUCCACCUGGGGACUACGGCCGCAAGGUUGAA